UACGGGGGGGGCAAGCGUUGUUCGGAAUUACUGGGCGUAAAGGGCUCGUAGGUGGCCAACUAAGUCGGACGUGAAAUCCCUCAGCUUAACUGGGGAACUGCGUCCGAUACUGGAUGGCUUGAGUUUGGGAGAGGGAUGCGGAAUUCCAGGUGUAGCGGUGAAAUGCGUAGAUAUCUGCAGGAACACCCGUGGCGAAAGCGGCGCGCUGGACCACUACUGACGCUGAGGAACGAAAGCUAGGGGAGCAAACAGG
rnacentral:rRNA from 1 species